rnacentral:rRNA from 1 species
AGUUCGGAUUGGAGUCUGCAACCCGACUCCAUGAAGCUGGAUUCGCUAGUAAUCGCGCAUCAGCCACGGCGCGGUGAAUACGUUCCCGGGCCUUGUACACACCGCCCGUCAAGCCAUGGAAGCCGGGAGUGCCUGAAGUGUGCAACCGCAAGGAGCGCCCUAAGGUAAAACCGGUGACUGGGGCUAAGUCGUAACAAGGUACC